UUGACUUCGCUGUUUUUUCGACCUAUCGUAAAGGAGUUAGGGUAAGGGAGGAUUUAGUCCUCCCCCUGGUGUCUUAGUAAGCCGGUAAGCUAAACACUAAGAGUAUCACCAGCAUGAUGACCAACUUCAUCAUAACCCUUUCCUUAUA
rfam:Kluyvera ascorbata ATCC 33433 GKAS.assembly.028, whole genome shotgun sequence.